ensembl:lncRNA
AUUAGUUGUUUAAACUGCAAAACAAUAACAAACAUUUCGGUUAAUCUCUCACCACUAACGUUUCUGAUCUUUGUGUAGCAUAAGAUUGAAAACAAUCAAUGUACAUUUCGAAAAACACAGAUAUUGAAACAAACUUCUUUUUAUUUUUUUUUAUCAACCUGCAACAGACCAUGCUGACAAAUAUAACAGAGGCCCCUCCCAUAUCUGUGGAUAAUUGCGUAGAUUUAACUCCCUGUUUCUGGUUACUCUUAAUGGAGUUAAAAGCACUCCAUCACAAUCAACAAUAACUCCAGGGAGCAUAUCACUUCCUUGAGUGUUAAGAUAACUUCCAAUAAGAGUCAAUUUAACCCUGGUUUAAAAAAAAUAAUUUUUUAACACUGAUUUCAACUAUCCUUGAUUUACUGUCUAGGUUAAAGGGCAACUAACACCACUUUUCAACCUCAUGUUUGUUAUCUCCAGCACAAUACCAGUGCCAACAUAUUUGAAAACUGUGUAUUUCUACAUUUUUGUAGAAAAAUAUGUUAACUUUUUAACAUUUAAAACAGUGAUUUUCAAACACUGACAUUCGCAGUGACACGAGGAGUGAGAAAAUACCCUCCUUUGGGGCUAGAAACUAGUAGCAGGUUUGUUGAAAAUCAGUUUUUUUUUUAUUUUUUACUUUUAAUUCUACCCUGUGAUGUCACAGAAGCAUUUUUUUUUUUAACUUUUAAUUCUACCCUGUGAUGUCACAGAAGCAUUUUUUUUUUUUUAGGACCUUCUUCUUAUCUCCUUUUAACCACAGAUCAUAGAAACAUGCUGGUUUCACAUAUGUAGAAUGUGGCGAAAUUGCCCAUUUUUAAGUCAAUCGCGUUUAAGAUUCAACAGGGAGACUGUUAUUUUACUUGUCAGGUUGGUUGUUUCACAAGAUCUCCGGCUGAAGUUGCAUGACUUUGACCUGAUUUCUAAUAGAAAUACUAAUGACUUAAUCACUCUGGCAUAAAUAUAAAAAAACGGCUGCCAGAAACUCAACAUGAUUGUGAAUGAAUUAAUCCAUCUAUACAUGAGUGUAUCAUUUGUAUUUAUUUAACCAGGAUAGCCCACUCAUUCAAUAACAGCUGUUUUCCAUGGAGCCCGGGUGUCAUGAGUGUAUCAUUUGUAUUUAUUUAACCAGGAUAGCCCACUCAUUCAAUAACAGCUGUUUUCCAUGGAGCCCGGGUGUCAUGAGUGUAUCAUUUGUAUUUAUUUAACCAGGAUAGCCCACUCAUUCAAUAACAGCUGUUUUCCAUGGAUCCCGGGUGUCAUGAGUGUAUCAUUUGUAUUUAUUUAACCAGGAUAGCCCACUCAUUCAAUAACAGCUGUUUUCCAUGGAGCCCGGGUGUCAUGAGUGUAUCAUUGUAUUUAUUUAACCAGGAUAGCCCACUCAUUCAAUAACAGCUGUUUUCCAUGGAGUCCCGGGUGUCAUGUGAAAAUAUACUGAGCAAAAAAUAUAAACGCAACAUGCAACAUUUUUCAAAGAUUUUACUGAUGGUCACAGAUACCCUAAAAUAAAUGGGUCUCACAAUGGGUCUCGGGAUCUCGUCACAGCAGUUCUGUGCAUUCAGAUUGCCAUCGAUAAAAUGCGAUUGUCUUCGUUGUCCAUAGCUUGUGCCUGCCCAUACCAUAAACCCACCGCCACCACUGGGCACUCUGUUGACAACGUUGACAUCAGCAAACCUCUCGCCCACACGACGCCAUGCACGUGGUCUGAGGUUGUGAGGCCAGUUGGACGUACUGCCAAAUUCUCUAAAACAACGUUGGAGGUGGCUUAUGGUAGAGAAAUUAACAUUUAAUUCUCUGGCAACAGCUCUGUUGGACGUUCUUGACAAAACCUGCACAUUUUAGAGUGGCCUUUUAUCGUCCUCAACACAAUGUGCACCUGUGUA